CCCUUAGAUGUUCUGGGCUGCACGCGCGCUACACUGAUGCGUUCAACGAGUUUAUGACCUUGCCCGAUAGGGUUGGGUAAUCUUUUUAAAUCGCAUCGUGAUGGGGAUAGAUUAUUGCAAUUAUUAUUCUUCAACGAGGAAUUCCUAGUAAGCGCGAGUCAUCAGCUCGUGCUGAUUGCGUCCCUGCCCUUUGUACACACCGCCCGUCGCACCUACCGAUUGAAUGGUCCGGUGAAGCCUCCGGAUUGGCGCGCACCUCGGUGCCGCCGAGAAGUUGGCUAAACCUUACCAUUUAGAGGAAGGUGAAGUCGUAACA
rnacentral:rRNA from 1 species